UACGUAGGGUGCGAGCGUUAAUCGGAAUUACUGGGCGUAAAGCGUGCGCAGGCGGUCUGUUAAGACCGAUGUGAAAUCCCCGGGCUUAACCUGGGAGCUGCAUUGGUGACUGGCAGGCUUUGAGUGUGGCAGAGGGAGGUAGAAUUCCACGUGUAGCAGUGAAAUGCGUAGAGAUGUGGAGGAAUACCGAUGGCGAAGGCAGCCUCCUGGGCCAACACUGACGCUCAUGCACGAAAGCGUGGGGAGCAAACAGG
rnacentral:rRNA from 1 species